rnacentral:lncRNA from 1 species
UAGAUUUGAGGGAAAAACAUAUUUAAACUUUUUUAUAAGUUUAAAAUAUAAGUAAAUUCAAAUUCAGCAGUUAUGUAGUACAACAGUUCCUCGAGUGGCAUCAUGCAUGUUGUAACACCCCAUAAUUUACCUAUAACUAUUACAAUACCGAUUCUACAUAUUUCUAUACAAGCUUACAGUUUUUCAAAAUAUUCCUAAUACGUGAUUAGGACAUAUAGAAAUACAAAUAUUUACAAUAUAAGUUUCAAAAUCAACGACUUAAAACUCUUCUGAUCCUCAGACACCUGUAAGAUCAUCUGCUCGUGUACGUAGUACAGUCAUCGCAGUUCAAACACAACAAGAAAAGCAAGGGUAAGCUAGUGAAAAUAGAAUUUUAUAAUGUACGCAAUUAAAUCAAAAGAGAAAACCAAAUUACAUGAUCAAUUUCUCAAAUUAUACAAUCUUCUUCAAAUCCCAACAUUAGAACAAUCACAUAGAUCUCACAUGGAUCUACACAUCCAAGAUAUUCAACAAACAACGUCUUCCGGAAGACCCGUAUUAAGUAAGUCCUACCAGAGACUAACACCUGAUCCAAAGAUUACCAGCGAAUCCAACAGAAAGGAUCAAGGUAAGUUCAAUACAACCCAAGCCGUGCAUCCAUAUGUCACGGUGUGCAUGAACUCCCCCAUCAGCUUCUCACCACCUGAUAUCUUAGUCUAUGUGACUUAGAUCAUCAGUGAAGCUCGGAGAUCUCUGUUACCACAUAGGCAUCAAUACUUAAUACACAGCAAACAUCAGUCCAUACAUUAUCCCAAAUGUAUGAAUUCAAUUCCAUACCAUUCCGUCAUACAAUAUCAUUCAAAAAGUGAUCCACAAUAUUCAAAAGCGUAAUUAACAUAAAAAACAACACUUAAAUAUUAAACCAUCAAAAUAUAAUAUUUUUACAAAUUUAAAUAAUAUAUAAACAAACAACCCAAUAUAUAAACACACAACAUCCCUGCAAGAAAAAAUGAAUAUUGGGACCACGUCCCUUCCGCAUUCAGAUCUUCUAUCCUAGGGUGCUAUUAAAAAUUAAAUUUAGCUUCCCUUACCUCAAUUGCUUGCUUUCCAAGCAACUUUUAGAAUUUUAUUCCCCACCGUUUGGAUAAGCUUCAAGAUUUACGGGCCUAAUGCAAAUUAUCCAAACAGAACAAAAUUUCAGUAUAUAAUAGAAUAAGUUGAGAGGAUUAAACUUCUCAACUGACCCCACCAAGAUUAAUGACUAAAUCCUAAGGAAAAACAGAGAACACAGGAUAUUUAGAGUAAAAAUGAACUUACUCUGUUUGAAAAUCUGAUCGGGUAGAAAUGUUCUUUAACUCCUCUGCUACAGCGUGGUAUGAUCAGAUUCUAAAAUAGAUGAAGAUUGGGAGAGAAAUUAAGAGAGAGGGAGAGAAGAGAAUUGGAGAGAGAAAGAAAAAAAAAAUUGUGGUGGGAAAGAAGGGGCUUCUCUGCCCCUUUAUUUUUAUUUUUU